rnacentral:misc_RNA from 1 species
AAGUCGUAACAAGGUUUCCGUAGGUGAACCUGCGGAAGGAUCAUUAUCACGUAUCCACGUUUAUCAACCAUUGUGAACUGUAUUUUUGACCUUUAAGAAAUUUUAAUAUAUACUUCCCUUUAAUGUGGAGAAUAACGUUUAUUGUUGAUUUGAGUUAUUCCGUAUAUGUUAUUACUAAUUUCUUAAAGUGUAUUUUUCAAAUCACUUUUAUUAUUAACAAUUUAAACCCAAAUAAACUUUUUAUUUGAACUGAAUUAAUUUCAUUUUUCUUUUUUAAUUAAAAGGGACUGAAAUAAAAUUUUACGAAACAUAAGAACAACUCUUAGCAACGGAUAUCUUGGUUCUC